ACUUCGCUUGAGAUGAUGGCGUCCGGUCGGUUGGGUCAAUCUGCUGGAGCCCAGACAUCCAGCACACAGGCUGGGGCCUGGCAGAGGAUGCGAGGCUUGAUGAAUCCUCACCGUAUGAGUCACAGCAACAGGCUGACACUGAAGGCUCGUCAUGCUUGCUGUCAUUCAGAAGGGGGGACUGCCUUGGGAUCAGAGUGCACAUCAACUCACUCCUUCAGCCACAUUUAUUAACAUUUUCCGGGCUGGAUCAUUUCAAAGAGCCCUCCUCCCUUUGCCCACACAGUGCCCCUGUGCACCCAUGGGGGUGGAGACCACACACCGUCUGAGUUUUACUCCUGCGGCCUGGCACGGAGGGCAGGGGGAAAAGAGACACAGAUGAAGGCUGAAAGCCUGAGCAGGGUUGUUAGCCAGACCCUCCUAGAAACACAGGAGCUAAUGAAUGCAGCCAGAAGUCAGCAGCUGCAGCUCCACAGCACAGACGACCCCACUGAAGCUGCUCUGAAGAAGAAAAUAAAAGGAAAAAAGAGGCAGGAAUGGCUCACCAAGUAUAACAAAUGAACAGGGAUUUGUCUUUGAUAUGACAAGGAGAACAUUAUUCCACAUGUACAGGCAGGAAAAUGUCUCCAAAUAGCUACGUGUGUGUUCCUGUGUGUAAGUGAUGUAACAGCCUAUCUACCGUGGGCAGGAAUGACUCCGGGCUGCUCCGAGCACAUUCGCAUUAAUUAAGUUGAUGCAUCGUGGCAACUCACAUGUGAACAGACAUGUAUAAUCACAUAGCCGCAGCAAAGCAAGCUGUUAGUCAGCACACAUGUUCUCCAUAAUAACCAAACAGAAGGCAAAAUACAGUUGCUUUCUGUUGAGGGGUGUAUGAAAGCUUGUGUUAAUAUGGACGACUCUGCUGCUGCUGUGUUAUAGGUCUAACAUGAACUACACUCAGGGCGGUGCUUGACCGUCUCCCUUUUGUUUCACUUUGCUUCAGUGCCUUCUAAUGGCUAAUGCAAACCUGUGCUGAUCUGUGGGUCUUUUACAUGGUUGCUGCGUUAUUAGAGGGCGCUUUGUGUGGAAACUGUGAUAAUGUGGUCAUUAAAAAGCAGCUAUUUAAAAUCAUGUUGUUGAUCAUCACAGCAUGCUACCACCUCUGCCUCUGUGUUGUAUAGAUGUUGCAUAAUUGCAUGAUAGUGGCUUUUCUUAUUACUCUGAAAUAUAAUGAUUAUGAUCACCAACUCUAAUUAUUUUAACAGCAUUUUGAGAAUCAAAUCCUGACUAUGUUACCAAUAUGCCCUUUCUGCUUUGUUACAGAGCAGAUACUCCUCUUGUUUUCUUCUCUGCUUAGCUGCUAUUUUGACUGCUUUUUCUAUUUGUCUCAAAUUGCAACACAUUUAAAGGAGCAGUGUGUAAGAUUUAGGGAGAUUUAGUGGCAUGUAGCGGUAAGGACUGUAGAUUGCAACCAGCUGAAACUGAAAAUUCUGAGAAUUCUGUAAGUGUUCAUUGUUCAGUAGGGUCUUGACGGGGGCAGGAUUAUCCACAGAUGUCUCUUCCUCUCCAAAACAAAUGGACCAGGUGAUUAAAAUCUGUAAAAACACUGAAUA